UAUUUUUUAUUUAUGAGUUGUGUUUUAUGUGUACAAUAUGUGUAAGACAUACUUGACAGUCAUGGCGGGAAAUUACAAAAAAAAAAAAUACUAACUACUCAGUCAUCCCUUCAUACUUUGCAAUCACUAAAUGCACAGACUUAAAGGAAUGUUAGGUUAGUAUACAAUCUAUUAGGUAAGUACAACGUCAGUGUGGUAGGUAGAAAGAUAUCGGAUUUCAACUGCGAGGAGGUUAGAGACAGUUCGACUCCUUUCCACCCGUUUACUUGAACCCUCAUGAACCGACGGCGACUCGAAGUGGUCGGCAGUAGCUACUGGUGUUGGAGAAGUGAUACGUGCUACUCUUGAACCUUAUCGUGUUUGAUAUCGGAGACCAGAUGGCUCUUCUCAAAAGUGACUGACUGGCAGCAGCGAUGGACCACCACAACUGUGAGGAAGACCCCUUGGCCCCUAGAUCCAAAUAAACUCUCCUCUUCAACCUUUCAUAGCAAAAUUUUUUUUUUUUUCAUAUCAUUUUGCCUGAGCACUGAAAGGAUGAAGGCAGAGAUGAUCAGUGCUUCAUGGAAUGUGACAGAUGUAACGUCAUCUUUUAUUAUUACUGUGUACAUUAUGUGUAUUUGUCAAAAUUGAGCAUUACAUUGAUAUGCAAAUAAGUUAGUUUACAAAAUCCAAUCAUCAGUUAUGAACAGUAGAUGUAUGAUAUUGUAGCUUACAUCUCAUUACCAAGUUAAUAAAACCACUUCUACUA
rnacentral:lncRNA from 1 species